AAAAAAGGCUUAAAGAAAGAAGAACUUUGAAUUCCAAAUUUUAUAAACAAUAUAAAGAAAAACAAAGGCAGUGGCAGAGAAACAGUAGAAAAAAAGGAAGAAAGAUAAAAAAGAAGUUGGGUUGAAUAAGGACUUAGAAUCGAACAAAAACAGCUCAAAAAUUCAAAUGAGAACAGAUCUGUGACUGUGUCAGAUUCCAGAUCUACAGUGAGAAAACCUGCACAACACACAAGAAAACAACUGCCACAAAACCCAAAUGCUUGGACGAGUACUUUGAAACACAUCAUAAAAAAU
rnacentral:lncRNA from 1 species